GCCCGUGUGUGUUACUUGCCUGCUGUUAGGUUUCCCCGAUGUCCCUGUAGGAUGACUUAUGCAUAUCCUAAUGACUUAGUAUUGUCCCUUGACGACGAGCGUCGUCAGUUGGUGAACACCAAUCGAUAUUUACUGCAGGAGGUUGAGGAGCUGAGCAUUAUGGUGAAUGCUCAGAGUGCUAGGAUCGCCGAGUUAGAGGGGACUGUGAUGGACGAGAUGGCUAGAGUUGAGGCUACUCGUGAUGAGGUUCGGAGGGUUAGAGCUCGAUUGACUAGGAUAGGCAAGGAGUCCGUGAUAGGGCUUCUGGGAUCUUGGCAGAUGCCACUAUGUUGAUUGAUGAGGUCAUGGAGGUUGUUCAGAGUCCGGUUCAGGAGGGCAUUGAGGAGGAGCCUUUGGAGGAGGAUUCAGAGGAGGACCCUGAGGAGGAGGUUUCGCCCGAUAGUCCUACUGAGGACUAGAUUUAGAGUGAUAGAUCUUUUGACUUUUAUAACUAGGAUUAGUUGGGAUGGUGCUAGUUCUGAGGCCAUUGUAUUUUGCUUGACUGUGUGGCUUACUUUUGAGGCAUUUGAACUUACUUUUGUCGUACCUGACUAAUUGCACUUUUGUAACACCUGUGUAUUAUAUUUUGUAAAUGCUCCAUGACUUGCUAAUUGUAUGAAUCUUGAAGAGUUAAUAUAUGCUAAUUAUCGUUACUU
rnacentral:lncRNA from 1 species